GGAGGAACGCACCUCUGGUGUACCUGUUAUCGUGCCAACGGUAAACGCAGGGUAGCCAUGUGCGGAGUGGAUAACCGCUGAAAGCAUCUAAGUGGGAAGCCCACCUCAAGAUGAUUACUCUCAUUGGCUUAACCAAGUAAGGUCACGGGCAGAACACCCGUUUAUAGGUGUUAGGUCGAAGUCCAGCGAUGGAUGCAGCCGAGACACACUAACAGACCGAGGGCUUGACCUC
rnacentral:rRNA from 1 species